rnacentral:lncRNA from 10 species
GCAAUAGUAGUUAAUACUUUUAAAGACUGAUGGACCAGAUACAAACCCAAGGCUACAAAGGGGCGAGGGAAGGAGCCUGGAUCUCCUUACCUGGUUGUCUAGAAUGCGCCAGCUGCCCGGGAGAUGAAAAUUACAAGGUUGUGGGAAGUGGUUUGAAAUAAUUUGAUUAUGGCAUAAUUUUUAUAAUUUAGAAUGAUAAUUAAGGGGUAUAAACUUUUCUUUUUUUUUUGAGACAAAGUCUUGUUCUGUCACUUAGGCUGGAGUGCAGUGUCAUGAUCUAGGCUUACUCCAACCUCUGCCCCCCGGGUUCAAGCGAUUCUCAAGCCUCAGCAUCCUGCGUAGCUGGGAUUACAGAUGCUGGUGAAACAACAGUGAGGAGAGCCUGGGAGAAUGUGAGAAACAAGCACUAACACACUGAUGGCUGGAAAGCACACCAGGACAGGCUCUCCACAGGUGACAUGGAAAGACGCAUCCAAAGCCCUAAGAACCUCUCUACUCUUCAUCCCAGCAAUUCUGCUUCCAGAACAUGGAAAUACGCAACUAAAGCCCUAAGAGCCUCUCUACUCUUCAUCCCAGCAACUCUGCUUCCAGAACACGGAAAUACGCGUGCAAAGACCUAAGAACCUCUCUACUCUUCAUCCCAGCAACUCUGCUUCCAGAACGUGGAAAUGCGCGUCCAAAGCCCUAAGAGCCUCUCUACUCUUCAUCCCAGCAACUCUGCUUCCAGAACUGUAGCUGGACAAAAUAGUUAAGAAUGUUCAGAACAUGGGCGCGGUGGCUCACGCCUGUAAUCCCAGCACUUCAGGAGGCCGAGGCGGGCAGAUCACCUGAGGUCAGGAGUUUGAGACGAGCCUGGCUAAUAUGGUGAAACCCCGUUUCUACUAAAAAUACAAAAAAUUAGCUGGGUGUGGUGGUGCACACCUGUAAUCCCAGCUACUCAGGAGGCUGAGGUAGGAGAAUAGCUUGAACCUGGGAGACGGAGGUUGCAGUGAGCCGAGAUCGCGCCAUUGCACUCCAGCUUGGGCAAUAAGAGUGAAACUCUGUCUCAAAAAUUUAAAAAAAGAGUGUGCAGAACAACACAGCUGAAGAACACAUUCUUAGAUACAUCAAAAUGGGAUAAUCCAGUUGAUACCAUUUUAUAACCUUGGCAACAUGAGGAUAAUGGUUCAUCCUUUCAUGUCAUUUUCUAGUCUGUGCUAUGUAAUUUCAAGUGCCUUUUCACUGAAUAGACCUAUUAAAAUUGAUACA